rnacentral:rRNA from 1 species
AGGACGAACGCUGGCGGCGUGCCUAACACAUGCAAGUCAAGGAGGUGUAGCAAUACAUCAACUGGCGCACGGGUGCGGAACACGUAGGUAAUCUGCCUCUUAGGGGAGAACAACCAGUCGAAAGAUUGGCUAAAUCUCCGUAAUGUCGCGAAUUGGCAUCAAAUUGCGACCAAGUUCUCUAAGAGAUGAGCCUGCGUCUGAUUAGCUAGUUGGUAGUGUAACGGACUACCAAGGCUACGAUCAGUAGCUGGUCUGAGAGGAUGAUCAGCCACACUGGGACUGAGACACGGCCCAGACUCCUACGGGGGGCAGCAGUGAGGAAUUUUCCGCAAUGGAGGCAACUCUGACGGAGCAACGCCGCGUGCAGGAUGAAGGUUUUCGGAUCGUAAACUGCUUUUCUCGGGGACGAGCAAGGACGGUACCCGAGGAAGAAGCCCCGGCUAACUACGUGCCAGCAGCCGC